CUAAGAAUAUUCCGCAAUGGACGAAAGUCUGACGGAGCGACGCCGCGUGGAUGAUGAAGGCCGAAAGGUUGUAAAGUUCUUUUACUGGGGAAGAAUAACCGUAGGAGGGAAUGCCUGCGGGAUGACAUGAACCGGUGAAUAAGCCCCGGCCAACUACGUGCCAGCAGCCGCGGUAACACGUAGGGGGCGAGCGUUGUUCGGAAUUACUGGGCGUAAAGGGCAUGUAGGCGGUUUGGUAAGCCUGGCGUGAAAUACUGCAGCUUAACUGCAGGGGUGCGUUGGGAACUGCUGAGCUUGAGUUACGGAGAGGGAGUUAGAAUUCCUGGUGUAGGGGUGAAAUCUGUAGAUAUCAGGAAGAAUACCGAUGGCGAAGGCAAGCUCCUGGCCGAUGACUGACGCUGAGGUGCGAAAAGUGUGGGGAUCAAACAGGAUUAGAUACCCUGGUAGUCCACACGGUAAACGAUGUGCACUAGGUGCUGGUGCGGUAGUAUCAGUGCCGGAGCGAACGUGGU
rnacentral:rRNA from 1 species